rnacentral:rRNA from 1 species
AACGAACGCUGGCGGCAGGCCUAACACAUGCAAGUCGAGCGCGCCCUUCGGGGUGAGCGGCGGACGGGGGAGUAACGCGUGGGAACGUGCCCUUCUCUGCGGAAUAGCCUCGGGAAACUGAGAGUAAUACCGCAUACGCCCGUUGGGGGAAAGGUUUGUCGGAGAAGGAUCGGCCCGCGUUGGCUUAGGUAGUUGGUGGGGUAAGGGCCCACCAAGCCGACGAUCGAUAGCUGGUUUGAGAGGAUGAUCAGCCACACUGGGAGUGAGACGCAGCCCAGAAUCCUACGGGAGGCAGGAGAGGGGGAUCUUAGACAAUGGGGGGAAGCCUGAUCUAGCCAGGCUGGGUGAGUGAUGAAGGCCUUAGGGUUGUAAAGCUCUUUCAGCUGGGAAGAUAAUGACGGUACCGGAAGAAGAAGCCCCGGCUAACUCCGUG